GUGGGGAAUCUUCCGCAAUGGACGAAAGUCUGACGGAGCAACGCCGCGUGAACGAUGACGGCCUUCGGGUUGUAAAGUUCUGUUAUACGGGACGAAUGGUACGACGGCCAAUACCCGUCGUAAGUGACGGUACCGUAAGAGAAAGCCACGGCUAACUACGUGCCAGCAGCCGCGGUAAUACGUAGGUGGCAAGCGUUGUCCGGAAUUAUUGGGCGUAAAGGGCGCGCAGGCGGCGUCGUAAGUCGGUCUUAAAAGUGCGGGGCUUAACCCCGUGAGGGGACCGAAACUGCGAUGCUAGAGUAUCGGAGAGGAAAGCGGAAUUCCUAGUGUAGCGGUGAAAUGCGUAGAUAUUAGGAGGAACACCAGUGGCGAAAGCGGCUUUCUGGACGACAACUGACGCUGAGGCGCGAAAGCCAGGGGAGCAAACGGGAUUAGAAACCCUGGUAGUCC
rnacentral:rRNA from 1 species